ensembl:lncRNA
AAAAUCACAGCUCAGCUAGACUGCGAUGCAGAUGGAAGAAAAUCUAGCAGAUUGGACUCGUGUUAUUAAUACCCUGAGGAAGAAAACUCCACCACGAUGACUCGUACGCUCAUACCACAUCGGCCUCCGUUGUGCAACUCUUCUGCUAUUAACUCACUGGCACGUCUUUAUCAGGUGAACUAUGCAGAAGUGCAUGGAAAAUAGGUGGUGGUUCCUUCAGAACUCAGACACCCUGGCAGAUUUCUCCACACGAGGGCCUGAGGCACAGCGCAACAAUUUCUCCGGGCUGCAGGGAGAAGAAGCAUGGGAUUCCUCUCACCACACCGAGCAACUUUAAAAGUUGGGAGCCUCAUCUCAUCCAGAGCCCUUCUGUAAUCAGUGGCUAAAAGACGGGGGCCUCUGGAGGAAGAUUCCUCCUGCUCUGAAAUGAAUGAGAUACUAAGCGGCUGCAGCUGCGAGCACAGAGCCCUGUUUGACGAGGACAGGCACCAUUAUAUAUACAUAAGUGCAACUGGGAGAUGACAGCAGACGCAGGCUCCCAGUUUGAUUUAGCAAAUUGUUCAUCUCUGUUCCACCUGCCAGCUUCAAAGGCCUGUGCACGCUGACUGCCAGGGCUGAGACAGCACGGAAAGGCACCGCGUCUGCAAGGCUGGCAGAAAGGGAAAGCAAAAGCAACAUUUGGGGGAAACGUGACACAAAACAACAGCAAACCCCGAGAUACAAAUAGAACCUUGUUGGAAGCCCAUAGGAAAAGAUAUUCAGGGAAAAAAACCAACCAACGUCUCAAAGCAUGAAUUACCCACUGAGCAGGCUAUGAGCUGUUUCGAGCAGAGGCUGCAUUUCAUAACAUACUUAGAUAUCGACGAACGCAUGAGAAAGCUGGCUGCAGAACAUCACUGCAAUGCAAAACUAAAGCCUGCUCUGCUCAUCACAGUUCUCCUGGCUGGCUGUGCUGCUCCUGGGAGGGAACUAGGAAGGUCCUGGAGACAGCUUUGAUCUUCAUAGAAAUCACAGGUCUGUCUUGGGAUUUGUAUUCCAUUGUGUGGACUCAUCUGAGUAACCGUACAGAGAGAAGCACCAGAAUCAGACACUUAACUCCGCAAUUGGAGAGGAGGAUGGAUACUUCUGCAUUCUUCACAAACACGAUGAUAGGAGCAAACUUUGAGCUAGGCUAUUGAGCUGCAGCAGAACCAAGGGUAGGUGAAGUACAUGGUUUAGUGCACAACAGUGGUGGUGGGCGGAUGGUUGGACUAGGUGAUCUUAGAGGCCUUUUCCAACCUUAAUUAUUCUAUGAGGUUUAAAAAAUUUUACAAGACACUUGAAUGCAAGGUGCCAAGGGCCUUUCCUUCACUGUGUUUAGCCAGAUUUAGGCUGAAGGAGAAAUGGCAUUAAAGCCUAACCAUGUCAUCCUCCAAUAAAUGCAUGUUUCAGAACUCAGGCUUUCUGCUAUGGUCUUUACCUGUUUUAAAAGCCACAGAAUGGAUAAGUUACACUGGACUUCGAGGUGCACGUUCUUUUUCCCUUACACCUCUGAACUAUAGACACAUUUUAAAGCAUCUCAGCA